UAGGGAAUAUUGGUCAAUGGAUGCAAGUCUGAACCAGCCAUGCCGCGUGCAGGAAGAAGGCCUUCUGGGUUGUAAACUGCUUUUGCCAGAGGAUAAAAUGGGCGUGCGCGCUUAAUUGAAGGUACCUGGUGAAUAAGCCACGGCUAACUACGUGCCAGCAGCCGCGGUAAUACGUAGGUGGCAAGCGUUGUCCGGAUUUAUUGGGUUUAAAGGGUGCGUAGGCGGUCCCAUAAGUCAGUGGUGAAAUACUCUAGCUUAACUAGAGGGGUGCCAUUGAUACUGCGGGACUUGAGUAGAGUUGAAGUGGGCGGAAUUGACGGUGUAGCGGUGAAAUGCUUAGAUAUCGUCAAGAACACCGAUAGUGAAGACAGCUCACUAAGCUCAAACUGACGCUGAGGCACGAAAGUGUGGGGAUCAAACAGGAUUAGAUACC
rnacentral:rRNA from 1 species